CUACGGGAUGCACCAGUGGGGAAUAUUCCACAAUGGGCGCAAGCCUGAUGCAGCCAUGCCGCGUGUAUGAAGAAGGCCUUCGGGUUGUAAAGUACUUUCAGCGGGGAGGAAGGGAGUAAAGUUAAUACCUUUGCUCAUUGACGUUACCCGCAGAAGAAGCACCGGCUAACUCCGUGCCAGCAGCCGCGGUAAUACGGAGGGUGCAAGCGUUAAUCGGAAUUACUGGGCGUAAAGCGCACGCAGGCGGUUUGUUAAGUCAGAUGUGAAAUCCCCGGGCUCAACCUGGGAACUGCAUCUGAUACUGGCAAGCUUGAGUCUCGUAGAGGGGGGUAGAAUUCCAGGUGUAGCGGUGAAAUGCGUAGAGAUCUGGAGGAAUACCGGUGGCGAAGGCGGCCCCCUGGACGAAGACUGACGCUCAGGUGCGAAAGCGUGGGGAGCAAACAGGAUUAGAUACCCGUGUAGUC
rnacentral:rRNA from 1 species